ACUCUUAUAGUUUAAAAAAAACGGUAGAUUUUCUCCUUACAGCUUUCCUUACUAGGAAUA
rnacentral:tRNA from 1 species